GCCUGUGAAGGUGGCCUGUGAGGGUUGCUGGAGGUAUCAGAAGUGCGAAUGCUGACAUAAGUAACGAUAAAGCGGGUGAAAAGCCCGCUCGCCGGAAGACCAAGGGUUCCUGUCCAACGUUAAUCGGGGCAGGGUGAGUCGACCCCUAAGGCGAGGCCGAAAGGCGUAGUCGAUGGGAAACAGGUUAAUAUUCCUGUACUUGGUGUUACUGCGAAGGGGGGACGGAGAAGGCUAUGUUGGCCGGGCGACGGUUGUCCCGGUUUAAGCGUGUAGGCUGGUUUUCCAGGCAAAUCCGGAAAACCAAGGCUGAGGCGUGAUGACGAGGCACUACGGUGCUGAAGCGACAAAUGCCCUGCUUCCAGGAAAAGCCUCUAAGCAUCAGGUAACAUCAAAUCGUACCCCAAACCGACACAGGUGGUCAGGUAGAGAAUACCAAGGCGCUUGAGAGAACUCGGGUGAAGGAACUAGGCAAAAUGGUGCCGUAACUUCGGGAGAAGGCACGCUGAUAUGUAGGUGAAGCGACUUGCUCGUGGAGCUGAAAUCAGUCGAAGAUACCAGCUGGCUGCAACUGUUUAUUAAAAACACAGCACUGUGCAAACACGAAAGUGGACGUAUACGGUGUGACGCCUGCCCGGUGCCGGAAGGUUAAUUGAUGGGGUUAGCGGUAACGCGAAGCUCUUGAUCGAAGCCCCGGUAAACGGCGGCCGUAACUAUAACGGUCCUAAGGUAGCGAAAUUCCUUGUCGGGUAAGUUCCGACCUGCACGAAUGGCGUAAUGAUGGCCAGGCUGUCUCCACCCGAGACUCAGUGAAAUUGAACUCGCUGUGAAGAUGCAGUGUACCCGCGGCAAGACGGAAAGACCCCGUGAACCUUUACUAUAGCUUGACACUGAACAUUGAGCCUUGAUGUGUAGGAUAGGUGGGAGGCUUUGAAGUGUGGACGCCAGUCUGCAUGGAGCCGACCUUGAAAUACCACCCUUUAAUGUUUGAUGUUCUAACGUUGGCCCGUAAUCCGGGUUGCGGACAGUGUCUGGUGGGUAGUUUGACUGGGGCGGUCUCCUCCUAAAGAGUAACGGAGGAGCACGAAGGUUGGCUAAUCCUGGUCGGACAUCAGGAGGUUAGUGCAAUGGCAUAAGCCAGCUUGACUGCGAGCGUGACGGCGCGAGCAGGUGCGAAAGCAGGUCAUAGUGAUCCGGUGGUUCUGAAUGGAAGGGCCAUCGCUCAACGGAUAAAAGGUACUCCGGGGAUAACAGGCUGAUACCGCCCAAGAGUUCAUAUCGACGGCGGUGUUUGGCACCUCGAUGUCGGCUCAUCACAUCCUGGGGCUGAAGUAGGUCCCAAGGGUAUGGCUGUUCGCCAUUUAAAGUGGUACGCGAGCUGGGUUUAGAACGUCGUGAGACAGUUCGGUCCCUAUCUGCCGUGGGCGCUGGAGAACUGAGGGGGGCUGCUCCUAGUACGAGAGGACCGGAGUGGACGCAUCACUGGUGUUCGGGUUGUCAUGCCAAUGGCACUGCCCGGU
rnacentral:rRNA from 1 species